rnacentral:lncRNA from 1 species
UAAGGAAGUGGAAGGAGAAAGUGGCAUGGCCACGCCUCACCAAGGAGAACAUCAAGCCAGCCUGGCUGUUUGUGGACUUUGAUAACUGGCGAGACUGGGAAGGCGAUGAGGAAGUGGAAAAGACCAUGGUUGAGCAUUACGCUGAGCUCCUGCAGAAGGUCACUGCUAAAGGCCCACCCCCUGCAAUGGAUGACCUCGAUGAUGAGAUUUGAAAGCACAGAUCCUGCAGGUGUGUUUCCAUUAUCUGACGAGAGAUGUGCAGGCAGACUUGCUGACGCUGAACAGGAUUAGUGCAUACAUCAUCCUCACUGCACUGGCAAAUGCCCUCUGGGAUCUGAAAGGAC